CAAAAUCUACAUAACAUCUAGCGAUUUGCACAGGAAAUUUGUGAAAGAGAAACUGACAGGCCCUGCAAAUCACAAUUGGUAACCACCGGAAACACAAACGUACAGUAAGCAAAUACAGAAUGAGCACUCCCGCAAAAUAGGGAUGUAUGAAUCGUCGACAUACCGCGGGAAAGCGGGUGUCCAGCUUCUUCCUCAUGGCGUCGAGCAGGCGCCGGAGAAACCCUCCCCGGCGGAGAACAAGGGGGGUCGAAGUUGUAUCGACGCGGGGAGCGAAGCGCAGGACAUCGAAUCGGAGACGAAAACCGUAAAGAGAUUAAAUAGCGACAUCGGAUAGAUUUGUGAUUUGGGGAUUAGGGUUUCCGUUAUCCGUUUUCUUUUUCACUUUUACAAAAAAAGCAAUAAAAAAUAUUUUCCCCAUAAACAGCGCGGCCAAUGACCGGGCAAAUCGGCCAGCUCUCCCGGCCCAUGGACACCCGACGCGUGGACGCGGUGUAUAGACCUUGAAGUCACGUGAACAGAGGAUCUCUUCGGAGGGUCUACGGACUACGGAGCGGAGGUACGCGGACCGGGUCCACGGAGCCUUUCGCGGUGGGUAAACCUCAGCCACAGCGGGAUGUGGGGGCCCACGCGCGUAGACCUCCCGUGUUGCGCGCGCCGCUACACGUCAGCCGUCCGUCCCAAUCCCCGGAUGUGGUGGGCCCAACGUUUCUGGCUGGUUCGUGGAGAUGCCUGUUUGGGCCGUCCGAUGCAGGGGGUCGGCGGGAUCCGACGGCUGCAGCCCGGUGACUGAUUGGUGGCCUUCACUGGGUGCCGUAUUUGGCUCUCGCUUUUUGGCUGUUUAGGUGGAACCACCGAAGUGGAGAGAGUUCCGUUUCCAAGUUUUACCUCGUGGGAUAAGAUUAGGUACUGUAUUUUUUAUUUAAAGAAAAAUUAGCAAAAGUGAUUUUAUAAGAUUUUGAAGGAUUCUAAUAUUAAGAAAGAAAAAUCUGCAACGGCGGAACAAUUGCAUUUUGAGACGGAUGGUCCCUUCUCCGCUUGCGACCUGCUGUCCUGGUCCGAGUGAAAUCCCUACGACCUCCUUGUGUCGUGCUCUCAGUUUUGUAUUGUGCCUGCUAAGAGUGAUCAAAAUUGCAGCUCUUCAAGUUGAAUUGUUUGAGAAGAUAAUGCAGUAAAAGGGUAAAUUUCCACGAGGAUCCCAGGCAAACCUUACAUUCCCAAACCUCCUGGACAGGGCCUAAAAUGUGCAUACAGUGUCAAAUUUCCGUUUAGAACGAGAUUUAAGCCAACAUUUACAUGGACAGUAUUGGUACAAAAAACAUCGUG